rnacentral:rRNA from 1 species
GGACGAACGCUGGCGGCGUGCUUAACACAUGCAAGUCGAGCGGUAAGGCCCUUUCGGGGGUACACGAGCGGCGAACGGGUGAGUAACACGUGGGUGACCUGCCUUUAGCUCUGGGAUAAGCCUGGGAAACCGGGUCUAAUACCGGAUAUGACUCCGCGGCGCAUGUUGUGGGGUGGAAAGCCUUGUGCGGCUGGAGAUGGGCCCGCGGCCUAUCAGCUUGUUGGUGGGGUGANGGCCUACCAAGGCGACGACGGGUAGCCGGCCUGAGAGGGCGACCGGCCACACUGGGACUGAGACACGGCCCAGACUCCUACGGGAGGCAGCAGUGGGGAAUCUUGCGCAAUGGGCGAAAGCCUGACGCAGCGACGCCGCGUGAGGGAUGACGGCC